AUACGGAGGAUCCGAGCGUUGUCCGGAUUUAUUGGGUUUAAAGGGUGCGCAGGCGGCCAUUUAAGUCAGCGGUUAAAUCGUGGGGCUCAACCCCAUUCUGCCGUUGAUACUGGGUGGCUUGAUUGCGGUCGAGGUUGGCGGAAUUCGUUGUGUAGCGGUGAAAUGCAUAGAUAUGACGAAGAACACCGAUUGCGUAGGCAGCUGACCAGACCGCAAAUGACGCUCAUGCACGAAAGUGCGGGGAUCGAACAGGAUUAGAUACCCUGGUAGUCCGCACAGUAAACGAUGAAUACUUGUUUUCGGCGAUAUAAUGUCGGAGGCAAAGCGAAAGCGAUAAGUAUUCCACCUGGGGAGUACGCCGGCAACGGUGAAACUCAAAGGAAUUGACGGGG
rnacentral:rRNA from 1 species